rnacentral:misc_RNA from 1 species
GAUGAAGAACGUAGCGAAAUGCGAUAAGUAGUGUGAAUUGCAGAAUUCAGUGAAUCAUCGAAUCUUUGAACGCACAUUGCGCCCCUUGGUAUUCCAUGGGGCAUGCCUGUUCGAGCGUCAUUUGUACCCUCAAGCUCUGCUUGGUGUUGGGUGUUUGUCCACUCCCUGGUGUCUGGACUCGCCUUAAAGCAAUUGGCAGCCAGUGUUUUGGUAUUGAAGCGCAGCACAUUUUGCGUCUCCAGCCUAGAACGCUUGCGUCCAGUAAGCCUUUUUCCACUUUUGACCUCGGAUCAGGUAGGGAUACCCGCUGAACUUAAGCAUAUCAUAAGCGGAGGA